UACGUAGGUGGCAAGCGUUUGUCCGGAUUUAUUGGGUUUAAAGGGUGCGUAGGCGGUCCUAUAAGUCAGUGGUGAAAUACUCUAGCUUAACUAGAGGGGUGCCAAUGAUACUGUAGGACUUGAGUACAGAUGAGGUAGGCGGAAUUGACGGUGUAGCGGUGAAAUGCAUAGAUAUCGUCAAGAACACCUAUAGCGAAGGCAGCUUACUGGGCUGUAACUGACGCUGAGGCACGAAAGUGUGGGGAUCAAACAGG
rnacentral:rRNA from 1 species